rnacentral:rRNA from 1 species
ACUCAAAUGAAUUGACGGGGGCCCGCACAAGCGGUGGAGCAUGUGGUUCAAUUCGAUGCAGAGCGAAGAACCUUACCUGGGCUUGACAUGACGGAAGUAGAAACCGGAAACGGGGACGACCUGUUGAGUCAGGAGCCGUCACAGGUGGUGCAUGGCUGUCGUCAGCUCGUGCCGUGAGGUGUUGGGUUAAGUCCCGCAACGAGCGCAACCCUCACCCUAUGUUGCCAGCGGGUAAUGCCGGGUACUCUUAGGGAACUGCCGGCGAUGAGCUGGAGGAAGGAGGGGAUGACGUCAAGUCCGUAUGCCCCUUAUGUCCAGGGCUACACACAUGCUACAAUGGCCGGCACAGAGGGUCGCCAACCCGCGAGGGGGAGCCAAUCCCAGAAAGCCGGUCUCAGUUCGGAUUGCAGGCUGCAACUCGCCUGCAUGAAGUAGGAAUCGCUAGUAAGCGCAGAUCAGCAGGCUGCGCUGAAUACGUUCCCGGGCCUUGCACACACCGCCCGU